UCAGGCAUCCUGGGUUGGAGUCCUGUGCUAAUUAUCUGUCUGUGUGGGGUUUGCAUGUCCUCCUUCUGCCUGAAUGGGUUUUUGUCUGGAUAAUCAAGUUUUGUCCCACAUCCCAAAGAUGUUAAUUGUUGAUGUGUAUGAAUGUCUGCACAUGAUUAGAUUCUGCAAUGGACGGGCACCAUGUCCUGGAUAGUUUACUUAAUUCUGUGAUGAAACAUGUUUGCCUGGUUAAGUAAAAGAAACAGAGAGAGAGAGAAAGAAAGGGAGAGAUUUACCGCUACACCAUUACCUUAUUUUCUGUCUGUCACUCAGGCAAUGUGAGCUGUGUUACUGAUACAAAAACCAUACCUCAUUCACUCCAGAUGCAUAUUUAUUUUUGACCUCUUUAACUUCUCUCAGUCAGAAAAACACACCACACCACACUUGUUUUUUUAACUCUUCAACAACUCUUUGUAGUUCAGUAGAAUUAAUUCAAUUUGACUAGCAACCUAUUAUAAAACAGUCGGCUGUUCCAGCUUUUCACUUUGCCUUUUCAACUUGUUUUGUCACCAGUACCACAAAAACUGCACUAGUCUCUGUAACACUCCUUUUAGGGCUGUAAGUGUCUCAUGAACUGUUCAGUGGUUUGAAAGUCACCAUUCUUUUUCAUUGUAUUUCCUCUCACUCUGAUACUGAUAAUGUUUAGUUUUCAUCCAAUGCAAACUAAGGAAGGCAUCUACACGCCUCAACUACAGUUGCCCUGUGCCUCAACACUGUCCUCAGAUCAUAACCAAACAUCACUUUGGAGAUAUUCAGUGCUUUACUUACUUAAAAUUUUAGACACUGCUACUUUGAAACUACCCCACCAGUUUGGUAGAAGACACUUUUCCUAGAAAAACAAGGUGAGGCAUUCCUACCUAAGUGAACACAAUGGAACUGCUGUAGCAUGAAGUGAAGAAUGUCACUAAAGGCAUGGCAAGGCGAAUCAAAGACAGUAAACUGUAGGGGUAAGAACAAGGACAAAAGG